UACGUAGGGGGCAAGCGUUGUCCGGAAUUAUUGGGCGUAAAGCGCGCGCAGGCGGUUCUUUAAGUCUGGUGUAUAAGUGCGGGGCUCAACCCCGUGAGGCACUGGAAACUGGGGAACUGGAGUGCAGAAGAGGAGAGCGGAAUUCCACGUGUAGCGGUGAAAUGCGUAGAGAUGUGGAGGAACACCAGUGGCGAAGGCGGCUCUCUGGCCUGUAACUGACGCUCAGGCGCGAAAGCUAGGGGAGCAAACAGG
rnacentral:rRNA from 1 species